rnacentral:rRNA from 1 species
UAAGCAGAUAGUGAAAUUGUGUGGCUCAACCAUACACCCAUUAUCUGAACUGCUAAGCUAGAGGGCGAGAGAGGUAGCUAGAAUUCCUUGUGUAGGAGUGAAAUCCGUAGAUAUAAGGAGGAAUACCGAUGGCGUAGGCAGGCUACUGGCUCGUCCCUGACACUAAGGCACGAAAGCGUGGGGAGCGACCGGGAUUAGAUACCCCGUUAGUCCACGCCGUAAACGAUGGAUGCUA